GGGGAAGGGAACUGCUCUUCUUUACCCUUUGGUAGAGAUCUGUUGAAAGUAAAACAGCCGACAUGACAAACAGCCAAAUCGGAGAUAAGGACCAAGUCCAGUAGGACUUUCCAGCAGAGUUUGCAUUUAUUCAAGGUCUUUCAAAGUUUGCCACCCAAGCUUUUCUUUCCAAAUGAGUAAGUGCUUCAAUUUCUUCGGCUGGCCACACUGCAGAGGAUAAUCUGUAUCAAAACCGAGCUCCCCCAGUGAAGAGACUCCAUAUUUCUCAUUAUGAUCAUCAGACAGAGGAGUUGUGCACUUCUGUAUCCCUUCUGAAGUAAUUGUUGUUGAAACCGAGGGAGCCUGAAAUUGCCAUUGAGACAAAGACUAGGCCAAAUUACAUAGUUUUUUUUGUCAGCGGUGACGGAGGACUUGCCUCUCUUUAAACUGCGGCACUGAAAGGAGGGUGUUAAGACCUUUAAUGCCUGUAAACCACCUCCUGGGAGCUAGUGAGGGCGAGAGGCUUCGGACAUUCCGAUUUUUGUUACUUAAGUGGUUCACAGAAGUUAAGAUAAGCGUUGGUUUGCACAGUGUUUGGGUAGGUGGAAAUUACAGACCUUAGUUACUUACUUAUUACAAGUUUCAGGGGCCAUGACGUUGUGGGUUUGGACUGCUCGCCUAAGGCAUCACGGUUACAGGGGGCAGUUUCAACGGAAAGCCGAGGCAUGGACGAGUUUGCAGUUUAUGGGGCAAUUACCAUGUCACAUUGUCUCUACUGGUAUCUCUAGAGGUUCCAUUUUGCUGAUGAGAGUCUGGACUCUGGUAAGGUAGAGGCAGUUGUCCACCAUUGAGUUCCAUGAUCUUGUCUAGGUCAUAUAAUGUACGUGGAAUUCUUACAAUGACUUCUACUCCAGUGUCAGCUGCCAGUUUCUUAAUAGCGGCAUCUCGUUCCUUGCCAGAGGGCUCAGAAUCAUAUUCAAUUGGAAGGUCAGUCAUGUUCCAUUCCUUGAAAAGCCUGGGAAGCACAUCUGCUGGUUGUCCACGAAUCAGGAACAGACGGGAGUUUAAUUUUCGUAGACUGGCAUCAAGAUUGAAGCAAAAAUCGCGACCGGUUGAUGCCCACAUUGGAGGAUCCGGGGAACCAGGGGUCCCGGGCCGCGCAUGGCGUCGGCCCCCGAAUGCAUUCCUUCGGGACGGGGUUGUCAUGCACCGGUGCCGGGCAUUCACCCUGAUGCCGGGGGACGAGGAGGGUCCUCCACAGAGAAAUUCCAGGAAGGAGGCUCCGGCUCAUAACCUUCGCUUCCAGGAGAACUGCCUCACCCGAGGAGUGAGGAAAGGUCAGCGGAGAGGGUCAGGAAAAAUGACCCCGAGGAGGGGGCGGGAGAACGCGCGGGUGCUGGAGGCCCAAUGGGAAGAUGAGCGGAGGUUGCCCAGUCCGCAGAGUCCGGGUGUGACGCCUUUAAGAGCCCGCGCCCGCUGCCAGCGUCUGGAGGUGAUGCGUUAACUUCCAGGGCCUCGGACCUCCGGAGCCUGAGCAAGUUCCAGGAGCUCGAGCCGCCACGACAGCCCCAGGAAGGUCGUCACGGAAACCUCGCCCCGCAGAGGCGGCCCCUGAGGACAAAACGGCCUGCCCCAGAGAAGUUCUUUCAAACUUCCAUGGGAGAGAUUGAUUUUUGACUUUGACACCGCAUUGCCUACUUGGAUGGCAGCCACCACAGUCCCCGAAACUCUACCAUUCCUUAAAGGGCUCGCAGCCUGAGUUCCCAGAGCCAGGUGAGAGUUGGCUUCACCAUUGCAUGCAUGAGGCACAAGCCACUCCUCGAGUCAUUGUGACGUUCACCGUUGCCAGGCAACGGGCUCCUGAGACCUGGCAAAGGAUGAGCACCAUGUGGCAGUGAGUCAGAAACAAGACUCAGGCCACUCUUCGCCAGGACGUCCACAGGAUACUCUCUGGAGGCCAGGAUUCAUGAAGGGCUGAACAAGAGAAAGAAACUUCAGGUGGAGCGAUCUUAGCGGAAGCAGCCGGGAUUCUCAGCUUCAGGCCUGUGCCAAGGGAGUACAGGUGGGUGUCCCCAAAUUGUCAUGGCCUGGUCAUCUCGAAGUACAUGUCUUCCUGUGUGCCUAUGGGCUGCUCUCUCACCCAGUGGUCAUAAUCAUGAAGAGCAGAACCCUGCAGCUUCAAGGACUGCCUGGAGCUUGGUGUUACUGUGUCACUGCUGUAUGUCUAUGUGUGGUGUGUGUGUGUGCAUGCUGUUUGUGUGUGUGCACUUGUAUGUCUCUCUGUCUCAGAUUAUUCUCUCUCUCCCACUCUCUUUCUCUCUCUGUACAUCUGUGUGGGAGUGUGUGUGUGUGUGUGUGUGUGUGUUGGGACGCAUGACCCUGUCUGACAGAGAGCGAUUUCUUGCAUGAUGGCCUUUCUUUUGGUGAACCUCUCCCUGUGUUGCUGCCUGUGUUGCGUGGCCGGUUGUCAGUUGUUUACCUGGCAAUUCCAGCUGACAUUUCUGAAGAAAGGUCUAGGCGAACUGUGGAAGGAGUGUGGCGGCCAAGCAUAUAUUUCAAUCACCUGCCCGUCCUGAACUGCCUCUUUAAUAAGACCAAGACAAUCACACCCCAGUCAAGGACAAAAGCCUCAGCACAGCUCACAGCUCACCUGCAGGAGGGGUAAACAUAAAUCUCAAAGAAGAUAGUUCUUACUUUGCUCGUUUAUGACCUCAUUGAGAUAUCUAGCCCCAGAUCCACACAGGAACUACAAGGAUGCCAAGAUUGGGCUGUGACAAGCUUCUCUGUCUCUCUACUGUGGCCUUUUUGGCCAAGUCAACCACUUGACACUCCUCCCCGGAUGUGUGUUGGGAUGCAUUGUGCUGUAUUUGGCCUGGAUUCUGGCCUGUGCUCUGUCCUCCAUCUUUCUCUGUCUACCCUCAUUCUGAGAAACCUAGAGCCUUCCUGGUUUGGCUCAAUAUCUUCAACAUAGAACAUUUACCAGUCCAGCAGGAAAGAAGUUUGUGGGGAUCCAUUUCCUGUCUGUUUCCCAUCCACACCUGUUUCUGGAUGAUUGAGCAGGUGUGAUGAAGGUGGAGCUGUGGGCUUCCAUACCUGUCCGGGACAGGGAAGCUUUCUCAGCAUCCAUAUCCCACUGAUGGCUGCGUGGCUGCCCUCUGGCUUCUACAAAAGGUGCUGUUGCAAUUCACCCACAUUUCUUCUCUUGUUUUUGAGGGCCAUUCAUCACUAUGCCCCUGGGGAAAGUGCCUUCAAGCACUGAAUUUUUUGGCUGCCAUGGAUGUCAGGGAGCGAACCAAGGGGACUGGGUUUCACUGGUGCAGGCGUUGUUGCAUCGGGGGUAUCUGCUGGGUGCUGGGGUGGGGGCACCAUGACUUGAGGUCCUGAUAUGUUUGUGUGCCCAGUGAGGCCCUUCCUGCCCCUCUCCAUUGUAACCCCAUUCCUGCUUACCCGGUGGGAUACAAAUUCAGAUCCGAAGAGGACUGGGGAGAGCCCGUCUGUCACCCUGAAGCUUCUCCUCCUCCAGGAGUUGAAGCAGAAGAGCACUGGAGGCGGUCCUGAGGGCAAGAGUCUUAUGGAUUUGACCCCAGCUUUGUUGCACAUAUGCCCAUUGCCCACAGAUCCCCAAACCAACUGCUUUUGCCACCUGGGUGGUGGGUGGGGACACCAUGCCUUGAGGUUGCUGAGGUCUUUCUUUGUCCAGUGAGGCCCUUCCUGCCCCUCUCCAUUGUAAUUCCAUCCCUGCUUACCUGGUGGGAUCCAAAAUCGGAUCCAAAGAGGAGUGGGGAGAGCUCAUUUGGCAUGCUGAAACUUCUCCUCUGCCAGGAGCCAAAGCAGAAGAGCGCUGAAGGCGGUCCUGACAACAAGAGUCUUAUGGAUUUGACCCCAGCUUUGUCACAUGUACACCCAUUUCCCACUGCUCCCAAAACCUGCUACUUUUGCCACCUGGGUGGCGGGGUGGGGACACCAUCCCUUGAGGUUCCUGAGAUCUUUCUGUGCCCAGUGAGGUCCUUUCGGCUCCUUUCCAUUGUAACCCCAUCCCUGCCUACCCGGUGGAAUCCAAAAUAAGAUUCAAAGAGGAAAGAGGAAAGCCCAUCAGGCACCCUGAAGCCAGGAGCCAUAGCAGAAGAGCACUGAAGGAGGUCCAGAGGACAGGAUCCUUACGGGAUUGACCCCAGCUAUGUUGCACGUAUACCCGUUUCCCACGGCUCCCCAAGUCUGCUGCUUUCACUACCCGCCACCACCAUUGCAGUCCUCCGUGCUUUGGCCAUUUCUGCAAGGGGCUACAGCCUGAUUUCCAGAGCCAGGCAUGAGUUGGCCUCACCAAUGCCCAUGCAGGAGGCACAAGCCACUCCUCAUGGUAUUGUGACAUUCACCGUUGAAUGGUGCCGGGAUCCUGAGAGUUUGCAAGGAGGAGCUUCCUGUGGCAGUGAGUCAGAAACAAGGCUUAGGCCACUCCUCACCAGGAGCUCCCCAGGAUAGUCUGUAGAGGCCAGGACUCACAGUCUGUUGACCAGAAUUGGCAGAGGAAGAAAUGUCAGGUGGAGGCUUCCCCUGGGGAGCAGCGUGGUAUUCCAGCCUCAGGCCUGUGCCAAGGGAGGAAAGGUGAGUCUCCCUAAAUGCCUUGCCCUGGUUAUCUCUAGUACAUGUCUUCCUGUGUGCCCAUGGGCUGCUAACUCUCUCACUGGAGGGUUUUAAGUCAUGAAGAGCAGAACCCUGCAGCCUCAGGGACUGCCUGCAGCUGGGUGUUACUGUGCCACUUCUGUCUGUCUGUGUGUGGUUGCCUGUGUGUGUGUGUAUUUGUGUGUGUGUGUUUUCGAGUGUGUGCACAUGUAUGUCUCUCUGUCUCUGAUUAUUCUCUCUCUCCUUUCCCGCUCUCUUUCUCUCUCUCUGAGCAUCUGUGUGUGCAUGUUGGGAUGCAUGGCCCUGUGUGCCAUAAAGCGGUUUUUUGCACCACAGCCUUUCUUUUGAUAAGUCUCUCCCUGUGUCGCUGCCUGGGUCAUAUGACUGGUUGUCAGUCGUUUCCCCAGCAAUUCCAGCUGGUUUUUGUGAGGGGAAGCGUAAGCAACGUGGGGAGGGAGAAGCGUCGGGCCACCAUAUGUUUCAAUCACCUCCCCAUCCUGAGAGGCCUCUUUCUGAAGACCAAGACGAUAAGGCCCCAGCCAAGGACGAAAGCCUCAGCACAGCUCAUUGUCCACCUGCAGGAGGGUUACCAACCCACGUCAAAGAAGAUGGAUCUUCUCUCACACAUAACCUCAUUGGGAAAUCUAGCCACAGUUCCACAGGAACCACAAGGAUGCCAAGGAAGGGAUGUGGCCAGCUUCUUUGUCACUCUAAUGCUGGCCUUUCUGGCCAAGUCAACCAUUUGUCACUCCUUCCCAGUGUGUAUUGGGAUGUAUUGUGCUGUAUUUGGCCUGGACUCUGGCCUAUGCUGUGUCCUCCCUCUUUCUCUGUCUGCACUCUUUCUGAGAAGCCUAGAGGCUUCCUGGUCUGGCUUGAUAUCUUCAACAUAGAACACUUCCCAGCAGGGAGGAAGUUCAUGGGGAUCCAUUUCCUGUCUGUUUCCCCUCCAAACCUGUUUCUCAAUGAUUGAGCUGGUGAGAUGAAGGUGGAGCUGUGGGCUUCCAUACUGCCCGGGACAGGGAAGCUUUCUCAGACUCCAUGUCCCACUGGAUGGCUGCAUGGCUGCCCUCUGGCUUCUCCAAAAGGUGCUGUUGCAAUUCACCUGCACUUCUUCUCUUGUUCUUGAGGGCCAUCCAUCACUAUGCCCCUGGGGAUAGUGCCUUCAAGCACUGAAUCUUUUGGCUGCCAUGGAUGCCAGGGAGCAAGCCAAGGGGACUGGGUUUCACUGGGUCACGGGUUGUUGCAUCAGAAGUACCUGCUGGGUGGCGGGGUGGGGAAACCAUGCCUUGAGGUUGAUGACAUCUUUCUCUGCCCUAGUUAGGCCCUUCCCACCCCUCUCCAUUGUAACCCGAUGCCUGCUUACAUGGUGGGAUACAAAAUCGAAUCCGAAGGGGAAUGGGGAGAGCACAUUGGGCACCCUGAAGCUUCUCCGCUGUCAGCAACAGAAGCAGAAGAGUGCUGGCGGCGGUCCUGAGGACGAGUCUUAUGGAUCUGAUGCCAGCUUUGUCGCACAUAUGCCGGUUUCCCACGGCUCCCCAAACCAGCUGCUAUUGCCACCUGGGUGGCAGGUGGGGACACCAUGCCUUGAUGUUGCUGAGGUCUUUCUUUGUCCAGUGAGGCCCUUCCUGCCCCUCUCCAUUGUAACCCCAUCCCUGCUUACCUGGUGGGAUCUAAAAUCGGAUCUGAAGAGGAGUGGGGAGAGCUCAUUUGGCACGCUGAACUUCUCUUCCGCCAGGAGCCAAAGCAGAAGAGUACUGAAGGUGGUCCUGACAACAAGAGUCUUAUGGAUUUGACCCCAGCUUUGUCACAUGUACACCCAUUUCCCACUGCUCUCAAAACCUGCUACUUUUUUGCCACCUGGGUGGCGGGGUGGGGACACCAUCCCUUGAGGUUCCUGAGAUCUUUCUGUGCCCAGUGAGGCCCUUUCCGCCCCUUUCCAUUGUAACCCCAUCCCUGCCUACCCGGUGGAAUCCAAAAUAAGAUUCAAAGAGGAAAGAGGAAAGCCCAUCAGGCACCCUGAAGCCAGGAGCCAUAGCAGAAGAGCACUGAAGGAGGUCCAGAGGACAGGAUCCUUACGGGAUUGACCCCAGCUAUGUUGCACGUAUACCCGUUUCCCACGGCUCCCCAAGUCUGCUGCUUUCACUACCCGCCACCACCAUUGCAGUCCUCUGUGCUUUGGCCAUUUCUGCAAGGGGCUACAGCCUGAUUUCCAGAGCCAGGCAUGAGUUGGCCUCACCAAUGCCCAUGCAGGAGGCACAAGCCACUCCUCAUGGUAUUGUGACAUUCACCGUUGAAUGGUGCCGGGAUCCUGAGAGUUUGCAAGGAGGAGCUUCCUGUGGCAGUGAGUCAGAAACAAGGCUUAGGCCACUCCUCAUCAGGAGCUCCCCAGGAUAGUCUGUAGAGGCCAGGACUCACAGUCUGUUGACCAGAACUGGCAGAGGGUUGGCCAGGAGGAAGAAAUGUCAGGUGGAGGCUUCCCCUGGGGAGCAGCGUGGUAUUCCAGCCUCAGGCCUGUGCCAAGGGAGGAAAGGUGAGUCUCCCCAAAUGUCUUGCCCUGGUUAUCUCUAGUACACGUCUUCCUGUGUGCCCAUGGGCUGCUAACUCUCUCACCAGAGGGUUGUUAGUCAUGAAGAGCAGAACCCUGCAGCCUCAGGGACUGCCUGCAGCUGGGUGUUACUGUGCCACCUCUGUCUGUGUGUGUGUAUAUUUGUGUGUGUGUGUGCACAUGUAUGUCUCUCUGUCUCCGAUUAUUCCCUCUCUUCUUUCCCACUCUCUUUCUCUCUCUCUGUGCAUCUGUGUGUACCUGGGAUGGGAUGCAUGGCCCUGUGUGCCAUAGAGCAGUUUUUUGCACCACAGCCUUUCUUUUGAUGAGUCUCUCCCUGUGUUACUGCCUAGGUCAUGUGACUGGUUGUCAGUCAUUUCCCCAGCAAUUCCAGCUGGCUUUUGUGAGGGGAAGUGUAAGCAACAUGGGGAGGGAGAAGCGCUGGGCCACCAUAUGUUUCAGUCACCUCCCCAUCCUGAGAGGCCUCUUUCUAAGCACCAAGACGAUAACACCCCAGCCAAGGACGAAAGCCUCAGCACAGCUCAUUGUUCACCUGCAGGAAGGUUGCCCACCCAACUCAAAGAAAACGGGUCUCACUUCUCUCGCCCAUAACUUCAUUGAGAAAUCUAGCCACAGCUCCACACAGGAACCACAAGGAUGCCAAGAACGGGAUGUGGCCAGCUUCUCUGUCACUCCAACGCUGGCCUUUCUGGCCAAGUCAGCCAUUUGGCACUCCUCCCCGGAUGUGUGUUGGGAUGCAUUAUGCUGUAUUUGGCCUGGACUAUGGCCUAUGCUCUGUCCUCCCUCUUUCUCUGUCUGCACUCUUUCUGAGAAGCCUAGAGGCUUCCUGGUUUGACUUGGUAUCCUCAACAUAGAACACUUCCCAGUCCAGCAGGGCGGAAGUUCAUGGGGAUCCGUUUCCUGUCUGUUUCUUCUCCACACCUGUUCCUGGAUGGUUGAGCAGGUGCCAUGAAGGUGGAGCUCUGGGCUUCCAUACCCACCCGGGACAGGGAAGCUUUCUCAGUCUCCGUGUCCCACUGGAUGGCUGUGUGGCUGCCCUCUGGCUUCUCCAAAAGGUGCUGGUGCAAUUCAUCUGCACUUCUCUCGUUCUUGAGGGCCAUCUGUCACUAUGCCCCUGGGGAAAGUGCCUUCAAGCACUGAAUCUUUUGGCUGCCAUGGAUGCCAGGGAGCAAGCCAAGGGGACUGGGUUUUGCUGGGGGCACAUGUUGUUGCAUCAGAGGUACCUGCUGGGUGUCGGGGUGGGGAAACCAUGCCUUGAGGUUGCUGACAUCUUUCUCUGCCCCAGUGAGGCCCUUCCGGCCCCUCUCCAUUGUAACCUCAUCCCUGCUUACCCAGUGGGAUACAAAAUCGGAUUCAAAGGGGAAUAGGGAAAGCCCAUCGGGCACCCUGAAGCUUCUCCGCUGUCAGGAACCAAAGCAGAAGAGCGCUGGAGGUGGUCCUGAGGACAAGAGUCUUAUGGAUUUGACCCCAGCUUUGUCGCACAUACUCCCAUUUUCCACGGCUCCCCAAGCAGCUGCUUUGCCACCCAGGUGGUGGGUGGGGACACCAUGUCUUGGGGUUGCUGAGGUCUUUCUGUGUCCAGUGAAGCCCUUCCUGCCCCUCUCCAUUGUAACCCCAUCCCUGCUUACCCGGUGGGAUCCAAAAUCGGAUCGGAAGAGGAGUGGGGAGAGCCCAUUUGGCACGCUGAAACUUCUCCUCUGCCAGGAGCCAAAGCAGAAGAUCGCUGAAGGCGGUCCUGACAACAAGAGUCUUAUGGAUUUGACCCCAGCUUUGUCACAUGUACGCCCAUUUCCCAUGGCUCCCCAAGCCUGCUGCUUUUGUCAACCGGGUGUUGGGGUGGGGACACCAUGCCUUGAGGUUCCUGAGAUCUUUCUGUGCCCCAGUGAAGCCCUUCCCACCCCUCUCCAUUGUCACCCCAUUUCUUCUUACCCAGUGGGAUCCAAAAUUGGAUUUAAGGAGGAGUGGGGGAGCCCAUCUGCCACCCUGAAUCCAGGAGCCAAAGCAGAAGAGCACUGAAGGAGGUUCAGAGUACAGGAGUCCGAUGGGUUUCACGCCAGCUACGUUGCACAUACACCCGUUUCCCACGGCUCCCCAAACCUGCUGUUUUCACUCCCAGCCACCACCACUACAGUCCUAGCAGCCUCGGCCAUUUCUUUAUGGGGCUGCAGCCUGAGUUCUGGAGCCAGGUGGCAUUCAGCCUCAUCAAUGCCCAUGCAGGAGGCACAAGCCACACCUCAGGGGAUUGUGAGUUUCACCAUUGAAUGGUGAUGGGUUUCUGAGACUUGGCAAAGGAGGAGCUUCCUGUGGCAGUGUGUCAGAAACAAGGCUUAGGCCACUUCUUGCCAGGACCUCCACAGCAUGAUCUCUAGAAACCAGGAUUUGCAGUGGCUCAAACAGGAUGUGCAGAGGGUCGACCAGAAGGAAGAAAUCUCAGGCAAAGUGUUUACCGGUGGAGCUGAGUGGAAUUCCAGCUUCAGGCCUGUGCCAAGGGAGUACAGGUGAGUCUCCCCUAAUGUCUUGCCCUGGUUAUCUCGAGUACUGGUCUUCUUGUGUGCCCAUGGGGUGCUCUCUCACUCUCACCGGAGAGUUUCAGUUCUGAACAGCAGAACCCUGCAGUCUCAGGGACUGCCUGCAGCUCGGUGUUUCUGUGCCACUUUUCUUUGUGUGUGUUGGUGUGUGUUGUAUGAAUGUGUGCGUGUGUAUUUCUCUCUGUCCUGAUUAUUCUCUCUCUCCUUUCCCGCUCUCUUUCUGUCUCUCUGUGCACGUGUGUGUUCGUGUUGGGCUGCAUGGCCUUGUGUGCCAGAGAACAGUUUCUUGCACCACAGCCUUUCUUUUGAUGAGCCUCUCCCUGCGUUGCUGCCUGGGUUGUGUGACUGGUUGUCAGUCAUUUCCUUGGGAAUUUCAGCUGGCUUUUGUGAAGGAAGGCAUGGACAAUGUGGUGAAGUAGACGCCUCCGGCCACCAUAUGUUUCAAUCACCUCCCCAUCCUGAGAGGCCUCUCUGAAGACGAAGACAAUCACACCCCAGCUAAGGACAAAAGCCUCAGCACAGCUCAUUGUCCACCUGCAGGAGGGUGGCCCACUCACCUCAAAGAAGACUGUUCUCAUUUCUCUCACCCAUAACCUCAUUGAGAAAUCUAGCCACAGCUCCACACAGGAACCGGAACCACAAGAAUGCCAAGAACAGGAUGUGGCAAGCAUUUCUGUCACUCCAACGCCGGCCUUUCUGGCCAAGUCAACUAUUUGGCACUCCUCCCUGGAUGUGUGUUGGGAUGCACUGUGCUGUAUUUGGCCUGGACUAUGGCCUAUGCUCUGUCCUCCUUUUUUCCCUGCCUGCCCUCUUUCUGAGAAUCCUAGCACCUUCCUGGUGUGCCUCAGUGUCUUCAACAUAGAACACUUCCCAAUCCAGCAGGGAGGAAGUUCAUGGGGAUCUGUUUCCUGUCUGUUUCCCCUCCACACCUGUUUCUGGAUGAUUGAGCAGGUGCAAUGAUGGUAGAGCUGUGGGCUUCCAUACCUGCCUGGGACAGGGAAGCUUUUUCAGUCUCCAUGUCCCACUGGAUGGCUGUGUGGCUGCCUCUGGCUUCUCCAAAAGGUGCUGGUGCAAUUCAUCUGCACUUCUUCUCUCGUUCUUCAGGGCCAUCGAUCACUAUGCCCCUGGGGAAAGUGCCUUCAAGCACUGACUCUUUUGGCUGCCAUGGAUGCCAGGGGGCGAGCCAAGGGGACUGUGUUUUGCUGGGUGCAGGGGUUGUUGCAUCAGGGGUACCUGCCAGGUGGCAGGGUGGGGAAACCAUGCAUUGAGUUCCCUGAGAUCUUUCUGUCCCCAGUGAGGCCCUUCCCACCCCUCUCCAUUGUAGCCGCUUCACUGCUUGACUGGUAGGAUCCAAAAUUGGAUCUGAAGAUGAGUGGGGAGAGCCCAUCAGGCACCCUGAAUUUUCUCCUCCACCAGAAGCCGAAAUAUGAGAGUGCUGGAGGCUGUCCUGAGGACAAGAGUCUUAUGGAUUUGACCCCAGCUUUGUCACAUGUACGCCCAUUUCCCAUGGUGCCUCAAGCCUGCUGCUUUUGUCAACAGGGUGUCGGGGUAGGGACAGCAUGCUUUGAGUUGCCUGAGGCUUUUCUGUGUCCAGUGAGGACAUUUGUGUCCCUCUCCAUUGUAACCCCAUCCCUGCUUACCUGGUGGUAUCCGAAAUCGGAUACGAAGAGGAGUGGGGAGAACCAAUCAGGCACUCUGAAGCAUCUCAUCCGCCAGGAGCCAAAGCACAAGAGCACUGGAGGCGAUCCUGUGGACCAGUGUCUUAUGUAUUUGACCGCAGCUUUCUCACAAGUACGCCUGUUUCCCUCGGCUCUCCAAACCUGUUGCUUCUGCCACCCGGGUGGCGGGGUGGGGACACCAUGUCUUUAGGUACCUGAGAUCUUUCUGUUCCCCAAUGAGGCCCUUCCCACCCCUCUCCAUUAUAAUCCCAUCCCUUCUAACCCGGUGGGAUCCCAAAUUGGAUUCAAAGAGGAAUGGAAAGAGCACAUCGGCCACCCUGAAGCCAGAAGCCAAAGCAGAAGAGCACUGAAGGAGGUCCUGAGGACAGGAGUCUUAUGAGUUACACCCCGGCUAGGUUGUACAUACACCCAUUUCCCACGGCUCCCCAAACCUGCUUCUUUCACUCCCCACCACCACCGCUGUAGUCCUAGCAGCCUCGGCCAUUUCGUCAAGGGCUCUAGCCUGAGUUCCCGAAGCCAGGUGCGAGUUGGCCUCAUCAGUGGGCAUGCACGUGGCACAAGCUGCUCCUCAGGGGAUUGUGAGGUUCACUGUUGAAUGGCAAUGGGUUCCUGAGACUUGGCAAAGGAGGAGCUUUCUGUGGCAGUGCGUCAGAAACAAGGCUUAGGGUGCUCCUUGCCAGGACUUCCACAGGAUAGUCUCUGUAGGCCAGGAUUCGCAGAGGGUGGACCAGAAGGAAGAAACCUCAGGUGAAGGGAUUGCUGGGGAUGCAGCAUGGAAUUCCAGCCUCAGGCCUGUGCCGAGGGAGUGCAGAGCGGGAUCCAAAAUCGGAUUGGAAGAGGAGUGCAGAGAGCCCAGAGGUCACCAAGAAUUUCUCCUCUGCUGGGAACUCUUGGAGGCCCCUCAUCCCAGAGCCUUUGGCAGGAAGAAAAGUAGCUGGAGUGAGGGCUGCACAUGUGUGCAGCUGAAGUACAGGCCCUUGGAGCACUAAGGCCUGAUAUUUGAGUAAGCGGUUGUAGGACAGCCGCAGCCUCCUUUAGAGGCCACAAUUCCAGCUACAUCAUGUGAAGUCCAUACAGGUUUUGGGGUACAUGUGAAGAACAUGCAAGACAGUUGCAUAGGUACACACGUGGCAGUGUGAUUUGCUGCCUUCCUCCCCUUCACCUAUAUCUGGCAUUUCUCCCCAUGCUAUCUCUCCCCAACUCCCUACCCCUCACUGUCCCUCCCCUAUUCCCCACAACAGACCCCAGUGUGUAGUGCUCCUCUCCCUGUGUCCAUGUGUUCUCAUUGUUCGACACCCACCUAUGAGUGAGAACAUGCGGUAUUUUAUUUUCUGUUCUUGUGUCAGUUUGCUGAGAAUGAUUGUCUCCAGGUUCAUCCAUGUCCCUACAAAGGACAUAAUGACUUAUGAUCAUGUUGAAGUAAGUUCUGAUACCAACCUUGAAUCCUAUCUAUGCAUUGAAAGUACUUUUGCCGGAAAACUAGGCUGUCUCCUGUGUGGACUCUUCAUGUUACUUUUCCUUUUUUUCUUUUCUACACUAUUAGGAAAAGGACCUUGACAUCGAUAUCAGAGGAUGAGGUGUAUGGAAGGCCAAUAUCUACAUGUAUCCUCAGAUUUCAUUUUCUCCUUUCACUGAGAUAUUGCUCUAUCCAUCACAAGUAUUUUCUCAGAAACAUUCAUUAUUACUUAUGUGAUUUUAUCCUAUGCAGUUUAUAUCUGCCAAGUCUCUCCAUUUUUAAUACAAAAAGCAAUCCUUAACUCCGUCGUAGUUAUUGUUUAAAUUUUCUCAUUUUCUGGAAAGAAGUUGCUAUAAUCACUAGCUUUAAAUUCUCACCUCUUAUACAUUUCUCAAAACAACUACAAACUGCCUUCUACACUUACAUAUCUACAACAACUUCCUUAACUAAGGUACAGAGUGAUUGUAUAACUGCUAAGUUCAAGGAUAACAUCCAGCCUUUACUUUAGUAGAGCCGUAUGGUGUAUUUGACAUUGUUGAUAUUUAGUAUCUAUUUUUUUUGGCUUCCUAAAAUAAAAUAAUCUGGUUCUCUACAUACUUUUUAAAAAUAACAUUUUAAAAUAAUUUUUUACUUUGAUUUUUUCUUAAACCUUGGUACUGCAUUAGGGCCCAUACUAAAGUCUUUUAGUAUCAAUUAUUGGUAGGAUCAGAAACAGUAGAAUGUUGCUGAUAAAUUGAUGAAUGGAUAGAUAAUAGAUAGAUUUAUUAUAAGGAAUUGGCUUAUGCCAUUGUGGUAGGCUGGUUAAACAGUUUCUACAAGACUAAUUCAGCUUGCGAUUGAUGCUGGAUCCUAAAGUUCAUGGGUCAGGCAGUCAGGAAGGGAAGAUCAGGAGCUGGCUAGCACCUGAUAAGAACACGCUUCAACCCACAGGAUAGGCAGAAACUCAUGUGCUUUUUUUUUUUGAGAUGGAGUCUCGCUCUGUCUCCCAGGCUGGCAUGCAGGGGCAUGAUCUUGACUCGCUUCAACCUCCACCUCCCAGGUUCAAGCAAUUCUCCUGCAUCAGUCUCCCAAAUAGCUGGGAUUACAGGCAUGCACCACCAUGCCCAGCUGAUUUUUUAUAUUUUUGGUAGAGACAGGGUUAUACCAUGUUGGUCAGACUGGUCUGGAACUCCUGACCUCAAGUGAUCUGCCCACCUUGGUCUUCCAAAGUGCUGGGAUUAUAGGUGUGAGCCACCGUGCCCAGCCUCAUAUGCAUUUUUGUUCCCUCUGGCCUUGAUGACAAGAUUAUGCUGCAGAAGCUGAAGCCCUUUGUCACAAAGCUACACAAACAUGUUUGGCUUAGCGGCUCCUUUAUGUUAGUCAUUGAGGUAAGCCUACUGACUUACUAGUGUAUGCUAGUAACUACACUAGUGUAUGUCACAAAAUGGCUGCUGCCAAGCUUCCACCCUCUAAAAUCCCAAGAGAGUUUCCUGUGUCUUAGUAUUAACCAGAAUCUUAGUAUUGAGAAAUGUCUUCUGGCUACAUGACCAAGAAGUGAGUUGCAGGAUGCACUAACUUGAGGACCAAAAUAACUACUGCUGCCCAGAACACCUUCUCUUUCCUUGGGAAUGUUGAUCAGAUUGGAGGAAACCCAAAGAAUCCCUUUAAAAAGAAAGUAGAUGGAUUAAGAAAGCAACCAGAGGGUUUAACCCACAACUAAUGACUUUUUCUUUUUUUUUCAGUUUCCUUUUACUUUACAUGGUAUGAGACAGGUCAGACAUGCAUCACAAGCUGGAAGAUCUACUUUGUCUUGCUGCCCUUGAAACUGACAUUCAAGUGCCUGAAAACGCUCAUGUACUCCAUAUUUUCCCUUGAACAAUCCUUCAAAGAAACCUUUAACCUACUACAACAGGAAUAGUCCUUCUUAUCCAUGAGAGGAUGAUUAGUUCUCAAGGAAAGGAGUUAAGAGACAUAGCCUUUAAAAAAUUAUCUUCGGUAAAUAACAAAGGCACAGACAACAUCAGUGUCCAAGAACUUAAGAACACCUGAUUUACUGAUACAGAUCUCACCAAUGUCACCUCUGAUCAAAGAACCCACUGGCAACAGGAGAUGCAAUAAUGUAUGCAUGACCACAGGACCUAAUAAUUCCACCAUAUCCCACAUCACUUGGAAGCAGCUGACCUGAAGAAUUACAGGAGGUGAUUUAAUAUGCAAAGCUAUCUACCAGAGCAUGGUGAUAAAACUGAUACAUAUAAUUUGAAUAAUUUGUGUUGGAGACCAAUGCCUUCUGGAACUUUACUUUCCUAUGUUUCUCAAUUAUAUUUAAUAUUUAUAAUUUUUAAUCCUCUAAAACCAUAUUUUCUGUAAGAUUUUUUUCUUGCCAUUGGCAAUUUUUCUUACCAUGUACAGGUAUUUAAAAAAAUACAAUCUCUAAAUUAAAGAUUUCUUUGUAAAAUGUUUGUCUUCUCUCUAUCAUUUUUCUAGCCAGUUA